CUUAAAACGCCGGUUCUCGUCCGAUCGCCGAAGUUAAGCAACGUCAAGCCUAGUCAGUACCUAGAUGGGUGAGCACUUGAGAAUACCAGAUGCUGUAAG